UACGGAGGGAGCUAGCGUUGUUCGGAAUUACUGGGCGUAAAGCGCGCGUAGGCGGCUUUGUAAGUUAGAGGUGAAAGCCCGGGGCUCAACCCCGGAACAGCCUUUAAGACUGCAUCGCUAGAAUCCGGGAGAGGUGAGUGGAAUUCCGAGUGUAGAGGUGAAAUUCGUAGAUAUUCGGAAGAACACCAGUGGCGAAGGCGGCUCACUGGACCGGUAUUGACGCUGAGGUGCGAAAGCGUGGGGAGCAAAGCAGG
rnacentral:rRNA from 1 species